UUGCUUCUUGAUGUCUGCAUUAUCAACUGUCGAUGGCAGGUCAUGUGCCUUCUAUGGUCGUCACGGGUGACAGGAAAUACACGUUCGAUUCCGAAGAAGGAGCCUGCGAAACAGCUACCACAUCCAAGGAAAGCAGUAGGCACGCAAAUUACCGAUCCCAGCUUGGGGAAGUAGUGACGAAGAAUAACGGUACGGGACUCAUUCGAGACCUCGUGAUCGGAAUGAUCGCAAGGUUAUAAGUGCUAGAAAGUAUCAAUUGGAGGGAAAGUUUGGUGUCAGCAGCUGCAUUAAUUCCAACUCCUAUUGUGUAAGCUAAAUUUGUAAUGGUUGAAAAGCUCUUGUCGGAUCUCAGCUAGGGGCCGAGAGUCGGCCAAAGGGCUUUAACCUUUCCAUUUCCCGGCGUGUUGCUGGUUUCUUGAGGGUGAUCUUCUCUGGUUGUGUCUAGAGUUCGGCCAGUUUACCUUGAAAAAAAAAUGAAGAUUUAAUAGAAUGGGACCUCAGUUCUAUUGCGAUGGUUUUCGAACUCCAUGUAAAGAUUAAUAGGAACUGACGGGGGCAUUCGUAUGGCAGUGCUAGAGGGGUGAAAUUCUUGGACAGUAGCACGGAAAAUGACUGUGAAAGUAUUUACCAAGAAUGUUUUUAUUGACUAAAAAAGAAAGUCGGAGGUUCAAAGGUGGUCAGAUAUUGCCCUAGUUUUGACCGUAAACUACGCCAGCCAGCAAUUCGGAUGUGUUUCAGAAACGACACUCCGGGCAGCUUCCGGAAAUCUAGAGCUCUUGUGCUCCGGGAGAAGUAUGACUGCAAAGCUAAAACUUAAAAGAAUUGACGAAAUGGCAUCUCCAGGGUAGA